GAGUUUGAUCCUGGCUCAGGAUGAACGCUGGCGGCGUGCCUAAGACAUGCAAGUCGAGUGGGUUUAGGCCCACGGCGAACGGGUGAGUAAUACCUAGGAACUUUCUUUAAGUGGAACAUAACCAGUCGAAAGAUUGGAUAAUAUUCCAUGUGGCCGCAAGGCUAAAGUCGCAAGACGCUUAAAGUGAGGCCUGGGCACCAUCAGCUAGUUGGUAAGGUAAUGGCUUACCAAGGCUAUGACGGUUAGGGGCCCCGAGAGGGGAAACCCCCACACUGGAACUGCGACACGGUCCAGACUCCUACGGGAGGCAGCAGUUUGGAAUUUUGCACAAUGGGCGCAAGCCUGAUGGAGCGACGCCGCGUGGGGGAUGAAGGGCUUCGGUCCGUAAACCCCUGUCAUUUGCGAACAAAGCUGCUGGCCUAAUACGCAAGUAGUUGAUAGUAGCAAAAGAGGAAGGGACGGCUAACUCUGUGCCAGCAGCCGCGGUAAUACAGAGGUCCCAAGCGUUGUUCGGAUUUACUGGGCGUAAAGGGUGCGUAGGUGGCGGGGUAAGUCUGGUGUGAAAGCUCCGAGCUCAACUCGGAAAAGCAUUGGAAACUAUCCCGCUGGAGGGUCGGAGGGGAGACUGGAAUUCUCGGUGUAGCAGUGAAAUGCGUAGAUAUCGAGAGGAACACCAGUGGCGAAGGCGAGUCUCUGGACGACUCCUGACACUGAGGCACGAAAGCUAGGGGAGCAAACAGGAUUAGAUACCCUGGUAGUCCUAGCUGUAAACGGUGCACAUUUGCUGUAAGAGGAAUCGACCCCUUUUGUGGCGAAGCUAACGCGUUAAAUGUGCCGCCUGGGGAGUACGGUCGCAAGAUUAAAACUCAAAGAAAUUGACGGGGGCCUGCACAAGCGGUGGAGCAUGUGGUUUAAUUCGAUGAUACGCGAGGAACCUUACCUGGGCUAGAAUGCCUUUGACCGAUCCAGAGAUGGGUUUUUCAGCAAUGACAAAGAGCAAGGUGCUGCAUGGCUGUCGUCAGCUCGUGCCGUGAGGUGUUGGGUUAAGUCCCGCAACGAGCGCAGCCCCUAUUCUUAGUUGCCAGCACGUAAUGGUGGGGACUCUAAGAAGACUGCCUGCGCAAGCAGAGAGGAAGGAGGGGAUGACGUCAAGUCAUCAUGGCCCUUACGCCCAGGGCUACACACGUGCUACAAUGGCAUAUACAAAGUGUUGCGACCUGGUGACAGGAAGCCAAUCACAAAAAGUAUGUCUCAGUUCGGAUUGCAGGCUGCAACUCGCCUGCAUGAAGUUGGAAUCGCUAGUAAUCGCAAAUCAGCAAUGUUGCGGUGAAUACGUUCCCGGACCUUGCACACAC
rnacentral:rRNA from 1 species